UACGUAGGGUACAAGCAUUAAUCGGAAUUAUUGGGCGUAAAGGGCGCGUAGGCGGGAGCAUAAGUCAGAUGUGAAAUACCAAAGCUCAACUUUGGUGCUGCAUUUGAAACUGUGUUUCUUGAGGACUGACGGAGAAAGCGGAAUUCCAUGAGUAGCGGUGAAAUGCGUAGAUACAUGGAGGAACACCGGUGGCGAAAGCGGCUUUCUAGUUUUUACCUGACGCUGAGGCGCGAGAGCAAGGGGAGCAAACAGG
rnacentral:rRNA from 2 species